UAGGGAGGGUGCAAGCGUUACUCGGAAUCACUGGGCGUAAAGGGCGCGUAGGCGGCCUAGCAAGUCUGGUGUGAAAGCCCAGGGCUCAACCCUGGAAGGGCACUGGAAACUGUUAGGCUUGAGUUCCGGAGAGGAGGGGGGAAUUCCCGGUGUAGCGGUGAAAUGCGUAGAUAUCGGGAGGAAUACCGGUGGCGAAGGCGUCCCUCUGGUCGGAAACUGACGCUGAGGCGCGAAAGCGUGGGGAGCAAACAGG
rnacentral:rRNA from 1 species